AACGAACGCUGGCGGCAGGCCUAACACAUUCAAGUCGAGCGCUCACCGUCGGGUGGGAGCGGCGCACGGGUGAGUAACACGUGGGAACCUACCUUGAAGUACGGAAUAACUGAGGGAAACUUCAGCUAAUACCGUAUACGCCCUACGGGGGAAAGAUUUAUCGCUUCAAGAGGGGCCCGCGUUGGAUUAGCUAGUUGGUGAGGUAACGGCUCACCAAAGCAACGAUCCAUAGGUGCUUUGAGAGAAUGAUCAGCCGCACUGGGACUGAGACACGGCCCAGACUCCUACGGGAGGCAGCAGUGGGGAAUCUUGGACAAUGGGCGCAAGCCUGAUCCAGCCAUGCCGCGUGAGUAAUGAAGGCCUUCGGGUUGUAAAGCUCUUUCAGAUGGGACGAUGAUGACGGUACCAUCAGAAGAAGCCCCGGCUAACUUCGUGCCAGCCGCCGCAGUAACAC
rnacentral:rRNA from 1 species